UACGUAGGGUGCGAGCGUUGUCCGGAAUUAUUGGGCGUAAAGAGCUCGUAGGCGGUCUGUCGCGUCGAAUGUGAAAACCCGGGGCUCAACUCCGGGCUUGCAUUCGAUACGGGCAGGCUAGAGUUCGGUAGGGGAGUCUGGAAUUCCUGGUGUAGCGGUGAAAUGCGCAGAUAUCGCUUGGAACGCCAAAGGUGAAAACAGGUUGCUGGGGUUGUGCCGACGCUGAGGCACGAAAGCCAGGGGAGCAAACGGG
rnacentral:rRNA from 1 species